UACAGAGGGGGCAAGCGUUGUUCGGAAUUACUGGGCGUAAAGGGCGCGUAGGCGGCCUGUUAAGUCGAACGUGAAAUCCCUGGGCUCAACCCAGGAACUGCGUCCGAUACUGGCAGGCUUGAAUCCGGGAGAGGGAUGUGGAAUUCCAGGUGUAGCGGUGAAAUGCGUAGAGAUCCGGAGGAACACCGGUGGCGAAGGCGGCAUCCUGGACCGACAUUGACGCUGAGGCGCGAAAGCCAGGGGAGCAAACGGG
rnacentral:rRNA from 1 species